ACAGCUUUCAUUGUGUCCCAUAAGUUUGGGUAUGUUGUACCUUCAUUUUCAUUAAAUUCUAAGAAGUCUUUAAUUUCUUUCUUUAUUUCUUCCUUGACCAGGUUAUCAUUGAGUAGAGCAUUGUUCAACUUCCUUGUAUAUGUGGGCGUUCUUCCCUUAUUGUUGUUGGAGACCAGCUUUAGGCCAUGGUGGUCUGAUAGGACGCAUGGGAUUAUUUCUAUCUUUCUGUAUCUUUGAGGCCUGUUUUAUGACCAAUUAUAUGGUCAAUU
rnacentral:lncRNA from 1 species